UACGGGGGGGCAAGCGUUGUUCGGAAUUACUGGGCGUAAAGGGCUCGUAGGCGGCCAACUAAGUCAGACGUGAAAUCCCUCGGCUUAACCGGGGAACUGCAUCUGAUACUGGAUGGCUUGAGUUUGGGAGAGGGAUGCGGAAUUCCAGGUGUAGCGGUGAAAUGCGUAGAUAUCUGGAAGAACACCCGUGGCGAAGGCGGCUCUCUGGGACGGUACUGACGCUGAGACGCGAAAGCGUGGGGAGCAAACAGG
rnacentral:rRNA from 1 species